CUACGGGUGGCUGCAGUGGGGAAUAUUGCACAAUGGAGGAAACUCUGAUGCAGCAACGCCGCGUGGAGGAUGACACUUUUCGGAGCGUAAACUCCUUUUAUAUAGGAAGAAGAUGACGGUACUAUAUGAAUAAGCGCCGGCUAACUCCGUGCCAGCAGCCGCGGUAAUACGGAGGGCGCAAGCGUUACUCGGAAUCACUGGGCGUAAAGAGCGUGUAGGCGGAUUAAAAAGUCAGAAGUGAAAUCCUAUAGCUUAACUAUAGAACUGCUUCUGAAACUCUUAAUCUAGAAUAUGGGAGAGGUAGAUGGAAUUUCUGGUGUAGGGGUAAAAUCCGUAGAGAUCUGGAGGAACAUCAGUGGCGAAGGCGGCCACCUGGAUCGUGAUUGACGCUGAGGUACGAAAGCGUGGGGAGCAAACAGGAUUAGAUACCCCUGUAGUC
rnacentral:rRNA from 1 species